rnacentral:lncRNA from 1 species
GUGCAGGACCUCUCGACCCGAGCUGCCUCUGCAGUGACUCUGGUGCGUGAUGAGCAGAGGUGGUGUGGAUGAUACUGGCUGCACUGUUGGAGCUUGGUUUCGGAGAGGAAGAGCUGAUGAUGAGCCUUCAAUUGACUAAGCUGACAAUCGGUGCCUGUGCAUUUCUUGAGGUGGAAGGAAUUUACCAUCCAACAACAUGAGAGCUAAGUUGGGGGGCGCCUGGUAUUUGCAUAUCUGGGGUGGCUAAUGGGAGCCUGGAGCCAGAGCAGCAUGGAGCCAGCUGGCUGAAUAGACUUGGUGCCACUGUGAGGGUGGUUGAGGCUGGGUCACGUUCCGGGUGCUUGUGGCUGGGUCACCAGGCUAAUAGAAGAGGCAGGAUUAUUUUGUAGCGUGAGUGCGUGCGCCAGGCAGGACAGUUUCCUUCAGUUUGUCUGUCUUGUGGUGUUGCUUCUGCAUCGUCUGUUCUGUGCUUCUCGGGUCUUGAUAUCCUCCUGGCUUUUUAGGCUGGACUGACCAGGUAGGCGACUUGUUAGCUGUGCAGAAGGGCCUCAAUGCUUGUUUUGUCAUCAUGGCUCUGAUCAAGCAGUGACUGCAAGACAAGAAGUGCUUGAAAGUGCAGAUCUGUUUCAGGUCUUGUGCAUCAUAUUCGGUUUGAGAUCGCGUCUGUUUCCAUCCUCACUCUUGCAGAAGUCAUCUGGGCCGCAUCAGGAGCUCUUGCGUGGGAAUUGAAUCCCUAAGCAUCUUCUUAGGGGGGUUUUCACUCCCCAUCCUUCUGGUCUCUUGUUUUGAAGGCAGGCUUUUUAGGCCUCCAUCAUCCCAUAUCUGGCAGUUGCUUCCAGUCGCAUGUCGUGACAUUUGAGUCUCUCCUAGGGUCUGGUGCAGAGCACCUGUUCUGACUUGCUGUUGCCGUAGGGCUUUCUUUUUGGGGAUCACUUUUUCUUGCGCCUUGUGUUGUGUGUUUUGUUUGUAGUGUUUGUGGCGUGCCUGUGUGUGUACGUGUUUGGUCUGGAGCUGUCC